UACGGAGGAUGCGAGCGUUAUCCGGAUUUAUUGGGUUUAAAGGGUGCGUAGGCGGUCCGUUAAGUCAGCGGUAAAAUUGCGGGGCUCAACCCCGUCGAGCCGUUGAAACUGGCAGACUUGAGUUGGCGAGAAGUACGCGGAAUGCGCGGUGUAGCGGUGAAAUGCAUAGAUAUCGCGCAGAACUCCGAUUGCGAAGGCAGCGUACCGGCGCCAGACUGACGCUGAGGCACGAAAGCGUGGGGAUCAAACAGG
rnacentral:rRNA from 1 species